GCACUCUGGAGACGCCCGGCAUGCGCCGGGGGCCGAAGGUGAAAGCGCCGAAGGGCGCGAAUCUCUCAGGCAAAAGGACAGAGCAG
rnacentral:ncRNA from 1 species